GCAGCUCCCUCAUCCUGGGUACUCUGACCUGCGAAUCCUAGUGACUUCGCUUCUCUGAACUCCAUUAUCUUUUUCCACCCAGUGAGACUCAGGGUUCAGUUGAGUUCUCCCUCCUGUGCGCAGCCCAAAGCUGCCUCCAGGAAGGAAGCUGGGCAACCACAGGGUGCACCUCAGUUGUUUUACUCCUUUCAGGGAUCACAGUCCUGCACCACCUGAUGUCCAGCGUAGGAAAACCAUUGUUUCAUCCAGAGUCCUUACCUGGGCUAAGCUCUGCUACCAUUAUUUCAUUAAAUCUUCACAACACCCUAGAAGUCACACUAUCUUAAAAAUGAGGAAAUCUUGCCAGUCAGAAUGGCAGUGAUUAAAAAGUCAAGAAACAGUAGAUGCUGGUGAGGCUGUGGAGAAAUAGGAACACUUUUACACUGAUGGUGGGAACGUAAAUUAGUUCAACCAUUGUGGAAGACAGUGUGGCGAUUCCUCAAGGACCUAGAACCAAAAAAUAUCAUGUGACCCAGUAAUCCCAUUGCUGGGUAUAUACCCAAAGGAAUAGAAAUCAUUUUACUAUAAAGACACAUGCACACAUAAUGUUUAUUGCAGCACUAUUUACAAUAGCAAAGACAUGAAACCAACCCAAAUGUCCACCAAUGAAAGACUGGAUAAAGAAAAUGUGGUAUAUACACAACACGGAAUACUAUGCAGCCAUGAAAAGGAUGAGAUCAUGUCCUCUGCAGGGACAUGGAUGAAGCUGGAAACCAUCAUCCUCAGCAAACUAACACAGGAAGAGAAAGCCAAACACCACAUAUUCUCACUCAUAAAUGGGAGAUGAACAAUAGGAACACAUGGACACGGUGGGGGCCAGACAACACACACACCAGGACCUGACAGGGGGCCAAGGGGAAGGAGAGCAUUAGGACAAAUAUCUAAUGCAUGAGGGGCUUAAAACCUAGAUGAAAGGUUGACAGGUGCAGCAAACCACCAUGGCACAUGCAUACCUAUGUAACAAACCUGCACGUUCUGCACAUGUAUCCCGCAACUUAAAGUAAAAUUAAAAAAAAAAUGAGGAAACUUAAGAGUGGCCAGGUAACUGUCUCAGAGUCAGACAACCGCUAAGGUCUUCAACACAUUUGUUUCUAUGAACUCUCCCUGGCACUGUCCUGGACCCAGAGGCCCAGAUGUAGAAGGUAUGAGAGCAUCCAGGCUCCAGGGACAAGGCCUUGCAACCAAUAUCCAGGCCUCCUUUCACUUCAGAAUUCUCCUCCUGCAGAUGUCCUGGCUCCCAGUUCCAGAGCUCCUUUCUUUGUGUACACAGUGUGGGAAGGACUGCUUGGUCUGCAUUUAUAGUCACCAUCACAUUUGCCCAUAAGGCACACUGACGCAGCACACAGCAGUCUCUAUUUAACAGCAUAUUUGCUCAAUGAAACUGAUUGAAAUUUAACACGUAGGGUCUGCCUUAAUGAUCUUCUUGGAGAAUGCUGAGCAGUGCACCUGGAGUGUGGAGGCAGCGUCCAGGCUAUUAGAGUGAAGCCAGUCAAGGUGGCUGCUUCUCAAACUGAUUUUUCAAUCUCAAGCUCCUCCUUCCUCCACUUUGACUUUAUUUUACCAAGGAUUUCAAACAUGGAGAAAAAAGUAGAAAGAUGAAACACUCAUAGACCCAUAUCUAGACUGAGCAAUUUUGCUUCAUCUUGUUUAUUCCUGUAGUAUUUUAAAUAACAAAUACAAUGACGGUUCACUUCUAAAUACUCCAGCAUGCAGCUCUAAAAUUUAAGGAUCUUUUCCCACCUAACCAUAACAACUAUUAUUAUACUUAACAAAAUAAAAAAAAUACAUCAUCUAACACCAGUCCAUAGUUCAAACCACCUCUUGCCCUUGACAUUUUUUUAGUGUUGGAUAAUUAAAGCAGUUUCCAAUUAAGGAUAACACAGUGCAUUUAAAUGUUGUAUUUCUUUUCUUUUCUUUUUUUGAGAUGGAGUCUUGCUCUGUCACCCAGGCUGGAGUGCAGUGGCGCGAUCUCGGCUCACUGCAAGCUCCGCCUCCCGGGUUCACGCCAUUCUCCUGCCUCAACCUCCUGAGUAGCUGGGACUACAGGUGCAUGCCACCAUGCCCGGCUAAUUUUUUCUAUUUUUAGUAGAGACGGGGUUUCACCAUGUUAGCCAGGAUGGUCUCGAUCUCCUGACCUCAUGAUCCGCCCACCUCGGCCUACCUAAGUGCUGGGAUGACAGGCGUGAGCCACCGCGCCCGGCCAAAUGUUGUAUUUCUUACAUCUUUUAAAAUCUAGAACAGCUCUUCUCCACUGGCCCCUUCUUGCUCUAUAAUAUUGACUAUUGAAGAGACCAGACUACUACCUGAAAGAAUAUUCUACCUUCUGGCUUUGUUUCAGUGUCUUUUUUUUUUUUUUUUGAGAUGGAGUUUCACUCUUGUUCCCCCAGGCUGGAGUGCAAUGGCACGAUCUCUGUUCACUGCAACCUCGGCCUCCCGGGUUCCAGUGCUUCUCAUGCCUCAGCCUCUUGAGUAGCUGGGAUUACAGGUGCCUGCCACCAUGCCCAGAUAUUUUUUUUUAGUAGAGAUGGGGUUUCACCACGUUGGCCAGACUAGUCUUGAACUCCUGACCUCAGGUGAUCUGCCCAUCUCGGCCUCCCAAAGUGCUCAGAGUUACAGGCAUGAGCCACGGUGCCUGGCCUGUUUCACUGUAUUUCUUAUGGUGUCACUUGUUCCUCAACCUCCUCUAUUUCCUGUAAGCACGAAGUUGGGUCUAAAGUCUUGAAUAUACACUUUUGGGCUGGGUGGCAUUGUGCAUUGUGACUACAUGCCUGGUCAUCCAGUAUGAUGCCCAGAUCUCCCACUGAAUCCAAGAGGCAGUGGGCAUAGGCCUUGUUCCUCUCCUUUCAAAGGGCAAAAAAUCUGUGGUCAGGCCCCUUUUCCUGCAUAAAAUCUCCACAUCCCUGUUCCAUUCUCAUCUCUCCCCACCGACUGAGAAACAUGCCCCAUUGACUCACUGUGCCUUCUGGUACCUCCACCAGGCAAGAUUUUGCUGAAUUUACCUCCUGAAUUUGCAGUGCACAUGUGUGAAAUUUUUUGGAAUUAAAAAAAUUAAAACUGUACUUUUCAAGAUUUAAAACUGUAAUAUUGAUUGUGUUCUUCAUGGCCCCAAAGCAAGAUUCUGUUGUAUCUUGGAGGAGGGGGGUCACUACUCUGAAAUCCCAGUGAUGGGCAGCACUGAGCAACUGAGAGCCUCAGCAUUCUUGGGCUUGUUCACACCCACAAGCUUGGCACAGAUCCAAGUCCUGCAAGAUGCCUGGGAGGGCAACUGAGACCUGUGGCCCAGCCACAUUGACUCAGGAGGUAAAAAUGUCAACAGGCCACAACCUCCAGGGCUCCUGGAAUUGGAGACGAAGCCAGUUCUGAGCUUAUGCAACCAUAGGACAGUGAGAGAGGGCCAUGGACUCGAUUUAGAGCCACAAGAUGAGAGCACUGCUGGAGCACCGUGGGGAUGCUGACAAAUCUUCUCAGGGCUUCAAGGACCGUGGCUACAGGUACAUCUCAGCCAAACUUGGGCACAUGUUGCAAUCAAGGGACUGAAGCUACAACCACCUGGCCCGUGGUCCACCUGGAGUUUUGUUUUGUUUGUUUUUGAGAUGGAGUCUCACUCUGUCACCCAGGCAGGAGUGCAGCGGUGCGAUCUUGCUUCACUGCAAUCUCCACCUCCUGGGUUCAAACAAUUCUCCUGCCUCAGCCUCCUGAGUAGCUGGGACUACAGGUAUGCGCACCCACGCCCAGCUAAUUUUUGUAUUUUUAGUACAGACAGGGUUUCUACUAAAACCCUGGUUGGCCAGGCUGACCUCGAGCUCCUGACCUCAAGUGAUCUGCCUGCCUCAGCCUCCCAAAAUGCUGGCUGGGAUUACAAGCAUGGGCCACUGUGCCCGGCCCCACCUGGAGUUUUAAAAUUCUGAUUUAUAAAUUUAUUAUAUGACAGUCUACCAAAAGUAUGCAAAUCCGGCACUACACUUAUUUAUGCAUUCAGUGAGUCACCUUUAUCUGAGUGCAAGUGGCAACUGUUCUAGAAAAUGGGAACCAUGAGGUUAUCAAAGAACCUGGAGGUAGGGUCAGAUGAGGAAGCACAUCAUUAUGAUGUCUUACACAUGCAGUCAUGUCUCCUCUUAUAAUCCUAAGACUCACCUGUGAGAUUCCUAUUACAGCCCCUAGUUUACAUGUAGGAAUAUCAGAACCCCAAGGUUUAGAAACAGAACGGCCAGAAACAGGAGGAGGAUGGCCAUGCAGCUGGGCGUGGCAAGGCCAGGCCUCCCAAGU
rnacentral:lncRNA from 1 species